CAAAACAAUAAAAGAAGAAAUAUGCCGAAGCAAGAGAGAGGCGAAUCUGAAUCUAACAAAAUGUCAAUUGUCAUUGCUAGCUUUUCCUAUUCUAACAUAGCAUUUGGCAACAAGAGAAAGGUGAAUUUGUAAGGAAACGUCACAACUAAAACUUCCCUUUCUAAACCCAGAUCCCUAGAAUCUAUCAACCCAAAACCUCAUUCGGGUUUCUCAAAUUUUUAUUUCGUCUAUCGAGGAGAAGAAAGCUUCACAGAGGAGAAGCGAUAGUCAAAGUUUCAUCUCCAUCUGACAGUGGAGAUGGUAGAUGGGGGUAUUUUGAUUUUGAAUUUUUUCUUUGUGUUUCUAAUAUUAUAGGGAGCUUUCUCUUAAAGUGAAAGUCGGUAGAUGAAAAGGUAUAUAGAUGGGAAACUUAGUUGCAAAGCAUUUAACCUUUGCAGAGUUCGUUAAUGGUCAUAUAGAUGUGUAAAUUUUCGACAUGUUUUUUGUAUUUUCAAAUUUUGCAGCAAUGGCUUUGUUCUCGGAUUCUUCCAAACAAUCUCUUCUCACAACCUUCCUCCAACAACUCUGCCUUCCUCACGUUGCAUCAUCAUCACUACUAGAGGCCACAUGACCACACCCAUCCGGUGUCCACCAAGGCACCAGCCCACCACUGCCAUUCGUCUGCCACCCCUCUCUGACGAUGCUAAGAUAUCUCUGACGGAUCUUAAAUGUGUUUUUGUGCUGGGGGGUUUCGGUUUCAUCAUUUUAUUUAUUUUGCUGAUCCAAAUUCGAGUCAUAAAGAUUGGGAUUUAGAAUUUUUCUCUUCUUCUUCCCUUUUGUUUUUCUCUUCUUAUUUAUCUCUUCUUCUACUGCUCAGUUAGGGUUCUAAUAUUGGGACUAAUUAAAUGACAAGUAAAAUGCUAUCGUGACCAGUUAAAUGACAGGUCAACUUUUCAUUACAUUUUAAUAGAAAAGAACUGAUUUGUUAAUUAAGUAACUGAGUUAAAAGCUGAAUGAUUGUUUUAUUAUUGAAACCAAAAUUGAGUGAUUACUUUUACCUUUAAUUUUUUAUUUUUUAUAAGCGUGGUGGAGCCCAUUUGUUUUUUGAACUUUUCGUUUUCUUUCCCCUUUUUUUUUUAGUUUCUUUUCUUCCCCUCCAGCUCAAAUGUUCUAUCAACUCUCUAAAACUAGAAGCCAAACCCAGAAUCUGGCUAACUCCGGUGUCGGGUCGCUGUGCCAGCCGUCAUUUCCGAUGGCUCGAGGAGCCCAAAUUUCAUCUCCAAGUUCGUUAUCUCAUGCUCUUUUUGAAUCUAUCUUCCGUUUCUUCAAAAUAAUCACCGAUUUUCUUGAUUUAAAACCAAAGUUGUAGCCUACCUUUCUCCGAUCUCCCUCCCCCAUCGUCGGAUCAGUUUUUGUUUUCUGUACGUUGUUUAUCUACUCUUAAGCUUCAAUUUCACCGUUGAGAUCUACGAAUGGAGCACCAAAGCCUCAUUAGGCUUGUCCUCUCCACUAUCCAAAUUCAUGGAUUUAGGGGUUCGUUGUUGACGUUUGGGUUUUGUUUUCAGUGGCUUGGGGUUUCUGGUUCGUGGGGUAUUAGUGGGUUGAAGAUGAGAGUUGGAUGUUGAAGAUGAUAAUGGUGAAAGUUCAUAGGUGAGAUGAAGGUGGUGAUUAAAGAACAGGGGAAAAAAAGAAGGGAGAAAAUAAGAAACGUGAUGAUGUCAUCACUUAACGGCACAAUUCAUAACAUUUUUGAGAUUGGUAACGGCACAGUAAUCAAAAUGUUUUUAAGAUUAUAAAAUUUAAUGAUCAAAAUGUAACUUAAAUCAUAUACAUAUAUAAUUACUUUUAUAGUUUACCUGAAAAUAAAGAAGACAAUAAUCUGAGACAUUUCCUUUCCAAAGGCCUUCGGCCAAACUUCCGGACACUCGCUCACAAGAGCUUCUUCCUUCUGUUUUCUUCUAUUUUCUUUCUUUUGCUGCUUUUACAUUCUUUUUCAAUUUUCUCUACAUUUGACUUUAAAGCCUAAUCAAAACCCAAAUUUUCCUAUUUUUCUACAACUUUCCUACACUGGAACCCUAAGCCAAAUUUAGAAGGAACAAGAGCAAGAGAAUUAGGAGGGGCCUAGAGUUGGCUAUAUUUUACAUACAUUCCUUCCAAGGAUGAAUUGCUUGAAAAUAAACGAUUUCGGAAACGAUUGAACCACGAAACCUUCAUCUCGCCAGAGCCGGUGCAUUGCCCCUCACCUUCCUCCUCACUACUAAACAGAGUUUGGUCUGAACAGUCUAGUGAUGCUCCACAUGCUAAAUUAUACGCCUGACAUGCUGAAUGGCAUACUCGUAG